rnacentral:rRNA from 1 species
UGGGGAAUAUUGGACAAUGGGCGCAAGCCUGAUCCAGCCAUACCGCGUGGGUGAAGAAGGCCUUCGGGUUGUAAAGCCCUCUUGUUGGGAAAGAAAUCCAGCUGGUUAAUACCCGGUUGGGAUGACGGUACCCAAAGAAUAAGCACCGGCUAACUUCGUGCCAGCAGCCGCGGUAAUACGAAGGGUGCAAGCGUUACUCGGAAUUACUGGGCGUAAAGCGUGCGUAGGUGGUCGUUCAAGUCUGUUGUGAAAGCCCUGGGCUCAACCUGGGAACUGCAGUGGAAACUGGACGACUAGAGUGUGGUAGGGGGUAGCGGAAUUCCUGGUGUAGCAGUGAAAUGCAUAGAGAUCAGAAAGAACAGCCGUGGCGAAGGCGGCAUCCUGGGCUAACACUGACAGUGAGGCACGAAAGCGUGGGGAACAAAC